rnacentral:rRNA from 1 species
UUGUCACAUGCUUGUCUCAAAAAUUACCCUUUGAAUGUCUAAUUACAAAUUCUAAAACAAAUGAAACCGCAAAUGGCUCAUUAAAUCAUUUAUGAUUUAUUAAAUCUUGCGUUCCACAUGGAUAACUGUGGUAAUUCUAAAGCUAAUACAUGCAAAUGGCCCUGACUUAUACGGAGGGGCGUUUUUAUUAAAUCAAAAUCAAUCGGGGCAACCCGUUUUUGUGAUGACUCUGGAUAACUUUGUGCCGACCGCAUGGCCUUGUGCCGGCGGCGUAUCUUUCAAAUGUCUGCCCUAUCAACUUUCGAUGGUAGGUGACAUGCCUACCAUGGUUGUAACGGUUAAUUAAAAAUCAGGGUUCAAUUCCGGAGAGGGAGCCGGAAAAACGGCUACCACAUCCAAGGAAGGCAGCAGGCG